rnacentral:rRNA from 1 species
UACGAAGGGGGCUAGCGUUGCUCGGAAUCACUGGGCGUAAAGCGCACGUAGGCGGAUAUUUAAGUCAGGGGUGAAAUCCCAGAGCUCAACUCUGGAACUGCCUUUGAUACUGGGUAUCUGGAGUAUGGAAGAGGUGAGUGGAAUUCCGAGUGUAGAGGUGAAAUUCGUAGAUAUUCGGAGGAACACCAGUGGCGAAGGCAGCUCGCUGGGACGGUACUGACGCUGAGGCGCGAAAGCGUGGGGAGCAAACAGG